UAUCCUGUCUGAAUAUGGGGGGACCAUCCUCCAAGGCUAAAUACUCCUGACUGACCGAUAGUGAACCAGUACCGUGAGGGAAAGGCGAAAAGAACCCCGGCGAGGGGAGUGAAAAAGAACCUGAAACCGUGUACGUACAAGCAGUGGGAGCACCCUUUGGGGUGUGACUGCGUACCUUUUGUAUAAUGGGUCAGCGACUUAUAUUCUGUAGCAAGGUUAACCGAAUAGGGGAGCCGGAGGGAAACCGAGUCUUAAUUGGGCGUUAAGUUGCAGGGUAUAGACCCGAAACCCGGUGAUCUAGCCAUGGGCAGGUUGAAGGUUGGGUAACACUAACUGGAGGACCGAACCGACUAAUGUUGAAAAAUUAGCGGAUGACCUGUGGCUGGGGGUGAAAGGCCAAUCAAACCGGGAGAUAGCUGGUUCUCCCCGAAAGCUAUUUAGGUAGCGCCUCGUGAAUUCAUCUCCGGGGGUAGAGCACUGUUUCGGCUAGGGGGCCAUCCCGGCUUACCAACCCGAUGCAAACUGCGAAUACCGGAGAAUGUUAUCACGGGAGACACACGGCGGGUGCUAACGUCCGUCGUGAAGAGGGAAACAACCCAGACCGCCAGCUAAGGUCCCAAAGUCAUGGUUAAGUGGGAAACGAUGUGGGAAGGCCCAGACAGCCAGGAUGUUGGCUUAGAAGCAGCCAUCAUUUAAAGAAAGCGUAAUAGCUCACUGGUCGAGUCGGCCUGCGCGGAAGAUGUAACGGGGCUAAACCAUGCACCGAAGCUGCGGCAGCGACGCUGAUGCGUUGUUGGGUAGGGGAGCGUUCUGUAAGCCUGUGAAGGUGGCCUGUGAGGGUUGCUGGAGGUAUCAGAAGUGCGAAUGCUGACAUAAGUAACGAUAAAGCGGGUGAAAAGCCCGCUCGCCGGAAGACCAAGGGUUCCUGUCCAACGUUAAUCGGGGCAGGGUGAGUCGACCCCUAAGGCGAGGCCGAAAGGCGUAGUCGAUGGGAAACGGGUUAAUAUUCCCGUACUUGGUGUUACUGCGAAGGGGGGACGGAGAAGGCUAUGUUGGCCGGGCGACGGUUGUCCCGGUUUAAGCGUGUAGGCUGGUUUUCCAGGCAAAUCCGGAAAAUCAAGGCUGAGGCGUGACGACGAGGCACUACGGUGCUGAAGCAACAAAUGCCCUGCUUCCAGGAAAAGCCUCUAAGCAUCAGGUAACAUCAAAUCGUACCCCAAACCGACACAGGUGGUCAGGUAGAGAAUACCAAGGCGCUUGAGAGAACUCGGGUGAAGGAACUAGGCAAAAUGGUGCCGUAACUUCGGGAGAAGGCACGCUGACACGUAGGUGAAGUGAUUUACUCAUGGAGCUGAAGUCAGUCGAAGAUACCAGCUGGCUGCAACUGUUUAUUAAAAACACAGCACUGUGCAAACACGAAAGUGGACGUAUACGGUGUGACGCCUGCCCGGUGCCGGAAGGUUAAUUGAUGGGGUCAGCGCAAGCGAAGCUCCUGAUCGAAGCCCCGGUAAACGGCGGCCGUAACUAUAACGGUCCUAAGGUAGCGAAAUUCCUUGUCGGGUAAGUUCCGACCUGCACGAAUGGCGUAAUGAUGGCCAGGCUGUCUCCACCCGAGACUCAGUGAAAUUGAACUCGCUGUGAAGAUGCAGUGUACCCGCGGCAAGACGGAAAGACCCCGUGAACCUUUACUAUAGCUUGACACUGAACAUUGAGCCUUGAUGUGUAGGAUAGGUGGGAGGCUUUGAAGUGUGGACGCCAGUCUGCAUGGAGCCGGCCUUGAAAUACCACCCUUUAAUGUUUGAUGUUCUAACGUGGACCCGUGAUCCGGGUUGCGGACAGUGUCUGGUGGGUAGUUUGACUGGGGCGGUCUCCUCCUAAAGAGUAACGGAGGAGCACGAAGGUUGGCUAAUCCUGGUCGGACAUCAGGAGGUUAGUGCAAUGGCAUAAGCCAGCUUGACUGCGAGCGUGACGGCGCGAGCAGGUGCGAAAGCAGGUCAUAGUGAUCCGGUGGUUCUGAAUGGAAGGGCCAUCGCUCAACGGAUAAAAGGUACUCCGGGGAUAACAGGCUGAUACCGCCCAAGAGUUCAUAUCGACGGCGGUGUUUGGCACCUCGAUGUCGGCUCAUCACAUCCUGGGGCUGAAGUAGGUCCCAAGGGUAUGGCUGUUCGCCAUUUAAAGUGGUACGCGAGCUGGGUUUAGAACGUCGUGAGACAGUUCGGUCCCUAUCUGCCGUGGGCGCUGGAGAACUGAGGGGGGCUGCUCCUAGUACGAGAGGACCGGAGUGGACGCAUCACUGGUGUUCGGGUUGUCAUGCCAAUGGCACUGCCCGGUAGCUAAAUGCGGAAGAGAUAAGUGCUGAAAGCAUCUAAGCACGAAACUUGCCCCGAGAUGAGUUCUCCCUGAGACUUUAGGUCUCCUGAAGGAACGUUGAAGACGACGACGUUGAUAGGCCGGGUGUGUAAGCGCAGCGAUGCGUUGAGCUAACCGGUACUAAUGAACCGUGAGGCUUAACCUUACA
rnacentral:rRNA from 1 species